rnacentral:rRNA from 1 species
CGGAGGAUCCAAGCGUUAUCCGGAAUCAUUGGGUUUAAAGGGUCCGUAGGCGGUUUGGUAAGCCAGUGGUGAAAGCCCAUCGCUCAACGGUGGAACGGCCAUUGAUACUGCCAGACUUGAAUUAUUAGGAAGCAACUAGAAUAUGUAGUGUAGCGGUGAAAUGCUUAGAGAUUACAUGGAAUACCAAUUGCGAAGGCAGGUUGCUACUAAUGGAUUGACGCUGAUGGACGAAAGCGUAGGUAGCGAACAGGAUUAGAUACCCUGGUAGUCCACGCCGUAAACGAUGGAUACUAGCUGUUGGGAGCGAUCUCAGUGGCUAAGCGAAAGUGAUAAGUAUCCCACCUGGGGAGUACGUUCGCAAGAAUG